rnacentral:siRNA from 1 species
AGAGUGUAAAAUGUAAAUGUGA